rnacentral:tRNA from 1 species
GGGGCUGUAGCUCAGCUGGGAGAGCGCCUGAUUUGCACUCAGGAGGUCGCCGGUUCGAUGCCGACCAGCUCCACCA